UGAUCCAUAGCCCAAUUAUAAUUAUCUUAUAAUUACAACUUCAGUCCCCUAAGUUUAAUUAAUCUCUUUUAGCCACAAAAUUAAUUAACAAUUAAUUCUUGACUAAUAUUAAUUAAACAAUAUGAUUUCUCCUUUAAUAUAUUAUUCUCAUAAUAUAUUAAUAAAUCAUAUUUAAACCUUUCUCUCCUUAAAUCAUCCUACAUAUUGCUAUGGUGAAGGCAACCCAAAAGGACCAUGCUCAUAAUCGGGUCAAGUACAUACCAAAAUAGUUAUGGACUUAGACACUAAUCCAACAGUCUCCCACUUGGAUAAGUCUAAUAACUAUUUUCCGUAUGACUUCAAAACCUGAUCAGCAAUCGUAGCUUUCAAAAGCCGCUGUCAACUCUGAUCUUAUCAGAUAGCGUGUCCUCUAGAUAAGGGAUUAUAUAUUCCUCCAUUCUCAAGAUAUCGUAUAGACAAAAGACAUGAAUUUCAAUCAUUCUCUCUAUACUUUUUCCCGACUUCCGAUUCAUGACGACUGAUAACAGACUACAAUUGAACACAUCAACUUAGUCCCGGCUUGGCCAAGCGCUUAGAUGUCAUCACUAAAUCAUCGAGAGGCCCACAUAUAUCGCUUUUAUCCCACUUUGGGUAAAAGGAAUGGAUAAACUUCGACUCAAAUGCUCGCUUGCAUUUACUGAUCGAAUCACACACAACAAUAAGUUUUAUAACACCAAGUUACUGGUGCGUUUACUUAUUAUCAAUGUGUAACUGACCAACAAAUAACAACUCACACGUCUCGGUUUCAAGAAUAUACAAUAUUAUCGUCUCACUAAUCACUCGUGAUAAAACCGUGAAGUGAUCCAAGUGAGCGUGGGUUUAAUCCAAUACUUUAAUCUUAUCAAAGCACUCACGAACUCUGCAGCAAACUUGUGCCAUGUCUAAACACUUCAGACAAUCUACAGACAGAUUCAUGACAGUCUUUAUUCAUACCUACUCCCAACGUAUGACCAACUGUGGAUGUUUGAAUAACCUAGUUAUUCUGGAAGUCAAAACAUGCAAAUUGAAACAUGACAACAAUACUUAAUCCUAUAUGGCCCCAAACUUGUGAGAGUAAAUAAAACCCUUCUAUUUAUCCACCAUAUUGAUUACUCAUUAUUUAUCAUUUAAUGUUUCGGAUAAUCAACUCAUUACUUGAAUUAUACCAACAAUUGUCCCAUGCUCUAAACAUGCACACUUUGUUUCCUAUGGUCCAUGCUUUGUGAAAUAGAUCACCUGAAAACUUUUCCAAUGAUGCUCAUUUCACAAUUCCUUAAUCCCCAUUGUUAGUGUAAGAACACAAGGUUCUUGCCACUACUAGAAUAUGCUAGAUUCUAACAUUUUACGCAACGAUCCUUUCGUAAAGUCAUAGCACAAAAGUCACCAAGACUUGGCUAAUGAAAUUACAAAGUGCUUUCUUAGAAAUUGUUACAAGACAAUUCCAUAGACGUGAAGUCUCACAUUCAAAGUACAUUCCUUUGAACAUCCUUCUUGCAUAAAAGUUUCUAAUCUAGACAUAGAUUCUCAAUAUCCAACUCCCAAUAUGGAAACAUUUCCAUAUUUGCCAUAUGACAACUCAUUCUUAAUAGAAUCUUAUCUAUUCAUAAUAAUGUCGAUAUGGUCCAUCCAAUACCAUACUUCCAACUACUCACAAGCGACCAAUCCUCAGCGAACUUUGGAUCGUCCUUUGAUAGUUGUUUAAUUAUUUUAGUCAAAACCAAUUCUAGUCCUUUUUCCCUCUUAAUGCGCUAGACAUUUGGAAAAUUUUAGAAUGGUAAAAUAUUAUAGCAUUUGCAAUCGAUCCUAUACCCGAAGCGUAUGGGACACGAUGCAUAAUGUCUUACAUAAAGAUAUGAUACUUUACCAAUCUUUUGCCAUAAUAUUUUAUGUGUCAUGUUCUCACAAUUCGAACUAUGAAGAGGGAUGCCGUAAUCAUAAUCGAAUUUUAAGAACACACAAUGUAUCCUUUGACUGAAAAUAUUAAAAUUUCUCAAUCUAAGCUUUAGAUUUUGAAACGAAGUAUAAUAUUCUCUCCCUUAAUUAUAUUAAAACAACUUUUCAACCCAUGCAACUUUGCAAAUUGAAUCUUUGUUUUUCUAUAAUUAAUAUUGCUAACUUGCAAUACUCGCCAUAAUAAUCAUACAAGCAUAACACUUAUGCUCCCACUAUCAUGAUGAUUAUUAUCAUAUAAGCAUAACACUUAUGCUCCCACUAGCUUUGACAUGUAUUCAGAAAACAAAUGAACUUUCAGAAAACAAUGCCUAUUGAAUUUCUGAAAUUCAUAUUUCUAAUACCAGAUGCUUCGAUAAGCCUUUAUCUAGGCUUCUUAACCUUAUACACCUUUGUCUUAGAUAGCUCAUAUGUGUGUUUAAACAAUUCAGAACUUAUGUUACUAAGUUCCAAAUGUUGAAACUAAUUGCCAAAUCUCAUAAUUCGAACUAUGGAAAGGGAUGCCGUAACCAUAAUCGAAUUUUGAGAAUACAAUUUUCACAAUCGCUAUCUUCUUAAAAUCUCUCUUAGUGAAAGCAUUUCCUCACAGUCAUUUUCAUGAAGGAGGGAAUCUUAUGACACUUAGAUUUUAUGGUGUAUGAGUUCCUAUCCAUGUGAAUUUGCCAAAACCAAGGUUUGCGACAAAUCCAAACUCAUAUGGACUGAACUUUCUUAAUCUUGAUUUCUUGCCUUAUGGUAACACGAGUGCCCACCAUGUCUUCCAAGUAGUUUAGUAACUUGUCCUUACAUAUCAAUGUACUUUCCAUCGACUAAGGCUCUAGUAUGCAUUCAAAUGAGAACUCAUAGAACUCACAUACACAAUUAACUCAAUUGGAAUGGCACAGAAACAAAAUAAUGUCAGCACGAUAGGUUGUAAACCUCAAGUCGUGUGCUAGUGAUGAUCGAUAAGGUUUAUUCUUGAUUUGUUCUUGAAACCUUUCAAGACCAUUAAGACUCCCACUGACUCCUUGACAUAUAAGAUUCUCUUGUCAAGAAACAUUUCUUGACAAAGCAAAUAUUCAAGAGUUAGUGUAGUUCUUAUCAAGACAAAACACUUCACAAAAUUGGUCCUAGUUGGUCUUUGUCUUAUCCAAGACAUCACAACUUACCAAUUUCAAAUGUGCAAGAAUAAGAAAACUUUUCCAAAUUCCACAUUUGAUGAGUGUUAUAAACCUACUUAAGACUUGUCACUCAAUGUCACAAUCUUGGAGUAUGACUCUAAGACUUGAUAUUGGAACGAAGUAUGAUUGACUUUUUGAUUUAACCAUUUCUACAAUUCUCGAUUCCUCUUCUUAGACAUGCAAUUGCACUAAGACUCACUUAGAGGAUCAAUUGAGACAUGGUUCUUAAUCAUUAAGACUUAUCAUAAAACACAAUAAAAGGUACUCUCCCUUCUUCUUAGAAAAGAGAAACUUUUAUCUUUCUGCCUACUUGAUUCUUCUUUAUUCGUUCUACUAUUCAUUGAAACUCUUUCAAUCAACUCAGAAUUACACUUAAUCUUAUAAGUAUAAUCAUAUUUACUAAACUUUAGUAAAUCAUGACGAAUAUCUUUGUCACUCUUGUGGUGGACUUGAUCAACGCACAACCUAGUGUACUUGAUCUCCUAGUCCUUCAAUUGACACUUUGUCAAAGAAUUAGUCUAAGUUUCCCAAAUGUGAAAGUUUUUCAUUCAUCAUACAAUACACAUUGCAUGAUUCCAAGUUUCUGUCCAAUUGAAACUUGGGCGAUGAGAAACUCUCCCUAUUUGGUAAACUCUCGACAUUUCCACAAAUAACAUAAUUAAGAAUCAAAUCCAUUAUUGCUAAUAAUAGAAACAUUCAAACAUCAAUUUUUCAUACAUGCCAUUGCAAGGAUAAAUAAAUAAGAUAAAAUCAAAAUUCAUUUUAUUGCGGAAAAAAUUUGUCCUUACAAUGCAAUUCAAUUGAAAAACUAUGUUAUUACAUAUUUCUUAACAAUCUAUUCUAACUCCAAGUAGUAGCUCAAGAAUCCAUUCUUCAAGUAAUGCGAUCGAAAUCCAUUUCUUCAUGAUUAGAUUCAGCUCACUUCUUCCCUCAAGCUUCCUCUCUUUUCUUCGAUCCUACAAAACAUCAAAAUGUAAUCUUAUCACAUCAUGUAUUAAGAAUCUAGAAUAGGAACUCAAAAGAGUUAGGUAAUGGAUUUUACCUGGAGUAGAGCCAUACAUCUUGACUCUCCCAUCUCUUAGAUCUUUCAGGUAGUUAGGGCAGCUUCGUCUCCAAUGCCCCUUCUCUUGGCAAUAAAAGCAAAUGGACUCCUUUGGCACAACACAUCGGACAAUCACAGACUUAGUUCUUUCUGGACUUCCAAUGUUGCCAGUGUCCAUUGAAGUUUGGGAGUUUGAUUCACUAGACAAAUUUGCUUGACCAGCACGCCAAAUCAUUGUUGAUUCAGCAGCUAUAAGCAAAUAGGUGAGAUCAAUUAGGGUCACGUCGUGGUCCAUCAUAUAGUACUCUCUAACGAACUCACUAUAUGAUUCAGGAAGUGACUGAAGAACCCAGUCAACAGCCAACUCGCUUGAAAUCUCGACACCCAACAUGCUUAACCUAUCAAUGUGUGACUUCAUCUCUAAGACGUGUGCACACACAGGUUUCCCAUCUUCGUGUUUACUUGCCAAAAGGGCUUGAGUGAGCUUGAACUUUUCAAGCCUUUGAACUUGUGGGUCAGGGAGAACAAUUGGAGGAGGUGGAGGAAGUGAAGCAUGACUCUCAUUUCCUUGAUCGUAUCUCGGAACGUCAUCUUCAUUUGGAAAGCUUGUUCCAAAGGAUUUGGGAAGACCAUUGUAAGAUUCAGACAUCUACAAAACGGGAGAAAAUUCAAGUUAAGUUGAUUAGAAUUCUUGAUGUAACACCCAAAUGAAACAUCAAGCUAGGAUCCAACACAAUACUCUACAACCUAGAAGAGGGAUGCCGUAAUCUAGUUGCAAAAUAUUUGAAGGUAGGUAAAUGACGAUUUACCAAUUUCCACCAUGAAAAACGAAAAGGAAGAUUAAGUUUUAAAUGAAUUGAAACUCCUAGAUCUUUUGAGAUUCAUUGAACUUUUCAAUGGCAUGUUUAAUCUCGAUUAUGCCCUACUAUUUGUGACUGGGAUGCCGAGGAUCACAAACAAGGUGUGAAUAACCAUACGAAUCACGUGGUGCACCCAAUGCUACUAUCACCUAAUCAAUGUGCCGGUUAGCCACACACGCUCCAUUGAUCUAUGACAAACAUCGAGUCACCCUUCGCUACCAAUGUCAUCCCCAAAUUAGUGUGCCGGUUAACCACACACGCUCCACUAACGUUUGACAAGGGUACGAAGUGUAAUUCCAUGGGUUAGCAUACAAUUUCACAUUUUGCCUAAAGUAACUAUGAUUUGGGAAUUUGAAAAAGCAUUUAGUUACUUUGUACUUCAUUAUACUUAUAAUGGAAGGUUUCUGUCCUAUCCUACCCGUUCGGCUAACGACCCUCCACUAGUCAAGAGUGCGGUGGGUAAGAGUGGAUACCCAUUCAAUCGCCAUUUUAUAGGCAAUUUCCUUAAACACCCCUUAUAGACUAGCUUCGUGAAUGAGGCCUACUAACGGUAAGACUGAAUUUUUAGUUAUACAUAUAUAAUAUUAAACUUUUAAUGUUAUAUAUAGUAUAAGGGUGUAUUUUACACUUUUAAAAUACUAGGUGGUUUAAAUUAUACUUUUAAUUAACCAAAAUCAUUAUGGAUUUAUUAAAUCUCUUUUAAUUAUACACUUAAUUAAUUUAAUAAAACCAUAAGGGUUUAAUUUGAACUUUUCAAAAUCAGGGUUUUGGAUUUUAGACUUUCAAAAUUAACUUUUAAUCAACAAUUUAAAUUCCAAAACUUGAGGGCAAGUUUUGAAACUCUUCAAAACAAUUAGGUUUUAAUCUCACUUAAAAUUUUGAAUUUGAGACAUUUAAAUUAAAAUUUUAAAUAUUAAAACUGUUGAUUUAAUAAUUACCAUAAAUUAAACAAUUAAUUUAAAUUAUUAAAUCACAAGGGAUUAUCUAGAUCAUGAGGAUAAUUACCAAUUAUACAUCUAAGAUAUCCAAAUCCCUUGAAUCCCUCUCUAAAUCUCGAAAAUAAGGGAUGGGAUAAUUCAAGAUCUUUAAUUACCAUAUUUAACAAUUAAAAGAUAAUUACAAGAUAUGGGAUUAUCCAAAUCCCUAAAAUUUAGGAUCUAACCUUGGGGAAGGAGGUAAUUUCGAAAUCCAAGGGUUGGAAAACCCUAGAUUUCAAAAUCUUGGAGGCUAAGGAAAGGAUUUGGGAAACCCUAGCAAAAAUCGCCAUCUAGGGUUUAGCAACCCUAAUUGCGAAAAAUACCUAGCCUUUAGGGUUCAUUAGCCAUAAACCCUAAUAUGUCAAGUUCAUAAAUUUGAAUAAAAGCUAAUUGAAAACAAAAACCAAUGGCUCUGAUACCACUGAUGGGUUUAAUACAAACAAUCCUAUGUGUGCAUGCAACCCUAGUAUUGGAUCUAUGUUUUCACUAUUAGUUAUACAGCUUUAUGAACACAAAAAGAAACCUGGCAUGCUACUAUAAUUUUCGAAAUUCAUAUAUAAAGCUAGAAUACAUACCUUUUGUUGUUAUAUAGCAAUAACAACUAGUUCCUUGAAUUUCCUUAGCUCUUGAAAGCAAGUACCACAAGUGUAGUACCUCUAAUGGAGUCACAAACACCAUAUGCAACUUGGAUGAAGAGGAGAAGAAAGGGAGGCACCAAAAACGGCUGGAAACCCUAAUGGAAGACUUGUCUUCGUUUUUGGGGCAUAGGGGCCCUUUAUAUACAUGUAGGCUAUUAGGGUUUACAACUAGGAAACCCUAAUUUGACUGCUUAGGCCCUAAGCAGCCCAUGGACUCCUUAAACAUAUCCCUUGGACGAUUUCUAAUGGGCUACCCAUAGAAUUCGUCCAACCUAUAUAUUAUUUGGUGAUCCAUAGCCCAAUUAUAAUUAUCUUAUAAUUACAACUUCAGUCCCCUAAGUUUAAUAAAUCUCUUUUAGCCACAAAAUUAAUUAACAAUUAAUUCUUGACUAAUAUUAAUUAAACAAUAUGAUUUCUCCUUUAAUAUAUUAUUCUCAUAAUAUAUUAAUAAAUCAUAUUUAAACCUUUCUCUUCUUAAAUCAUCCUACAUAUUGCUAUAGUGAAGGCAACCCAAAAGGACCAUGCUCAUAAUCGGGUCAAGUACAUACCAAAACAGUUAUGGACUUAGACACUAAUCCAACAAAAUGUAGCGGGGUACCCAAUUCCUCAUGAAAUUUCUUCCAGAACCUGGAAGUAAAAUGCACAUUACGAUCUCAUAUUAUCGAU
rnacentral:lncRNA from 1 species